AGAGUUUGAUCCUGGCUCAGGAUGAACGCUAGCGGCAGGCCUAAUACAUGCAAGUCGAACGGUGGUAGCAAUACCAUAGUGGCGCACGGGUGCGUAACACGUAACUAACCUACCUAUAACUGGGGGAUAGCCCGCCGAAAGGCGGAUUAAUACCGCAUAAGCUACUUGAGUGGCAUCACUCGAAUAGUAAAGAUUUAUUGGUUAUAGAUGGGGUUGCGGGUCAUUAGCUAGUUGGUAAGGUAACGGCUUACCAAGGCGACGAUGACUAGGGGAGCUGAGAGGCUGGUCCCCCACACGGGCACUGAGAUACGGGCCCGACUCCUACGGGAGGCAGCAGUAGGGAAUAUUGGGCAAUGGGCGAGAGCCUGACCCAGCCAUGCCGCGUGCAGGAAGAAGGCUUUCUGAGUCGUAAACUGCUUUUGACAGGGAAGAAUAAGCACUACGUGUAGUGUGAUGACGGUACCUGCAGAAUAAGCACCGGCUAACUCCGUG
rnacentral:rRNA from 1 species